UGGAACAAGCCCAUGCCUUGCUGGCUAGCCAGUACCUGGUGUCAGAAUCUUCCAUUCACCAUUCAAUGUAGUCAUCGUCAUACCACUUCAUUCUCUGGCAAGGCAGGCAGCUGUGGGAGCCUCAGCACAUUCCUAGAGGAAACAAGAAUGAAGAGACUCGUCUUUCCAGCCUGCUAGUAUAGUCAAGGAGUAGAUAAGAAAUUAAAACUCAGCCAACUAGACCCCUUUCCAGGAUAUUGAAUUCUGAACAAGGAAAUAAAUCCUUUUGGAUUUUGGAAUCAUG
rnacentral:lncRNA from 1 species